rnacentral:rRNA from 1 species
CACGUAGGGGGCAAGCGUUGUCCGGAUUUAUUGGGCGUAAAGAGCUCGUAGGCGGCUCAGUAAGUCAGGUGUGAAACCUCCAGGCUCAACCUGGAGACGCCACCUGAUACUGCUGUGGCUAGAGUCCGGUAGGGAGCGUGGAAUUCCUGGUGUAGCGGUGAAAUGCGGCCAGAUAUCAGGAGGGAACACCAGCGGCGAAGGCGGCGCUCUGGGCCGGAACUGACGCUGAGGAGCGAAAGCGUGGGUAGCAAACAGG